UUUAUGGAGAGUUUGAUCCUGGCUCAGGAUGAACGCUGGCGGCGUGCCUAAUACAUGCAAGUCGAGCGAACAGAUGAGGAGC
rnacentral:rRNA from 1 species